rnacentral:rRNA from 1 species
UGGGGAAUAUUGCACAAUGGGCGCAAGCCUGAUGCAGCAACGCCGCGUGAGGGACGACGGCCUUCGGGUUGUAAACCUCUUUUAGUAGGGAAGAAGCGAAAGUGACGGUACCUGCAGAAAAAGCACCGGCUAACUACGUGCCAGCAGCCGCGGUAAUACGUAGGGUGCGAGCGUUGUCCGGAAUUAUUGGGCGUAAAGAGCUCGUAGGCGGUCUGUCGCGUCUGCUGUGAAAACCCGAGGCUCAACCUCGGGCCUGCAGUGGGUACGGGCAGACUAGAGUGCGGUAGGGGAGAAUGGAAUUCCUGGUGUAGCGGUGGAAUGCGCAGAUAUCAGGAGGAACACCGAUGGCGAAGGCAGUUCUCUGGGCCGUAACUGACGCUGAGGAGCGAAAGCGUGGGGAGCGAACAGGAUUAGAUACCCUGGUAGUCCACGCCGUAAACGUUGGGCGCUAGAUGUGGGGACCAUUCCACGGUUUCCGUGUCGCAGCUAACGCAUUAAGCGCCCGCCUGGGGAGUACGGCCGCAAGGCUAAAACUCAAAGGAAUUGACGGGGUCAUAGCUG